CUUAUGACUUAGCCUGGAAGUCAUAUGGUUUCACUACUUACUGUUGGAGCCAUAGGCCUAUGUCAAUUCAAAGGAAGGGGACUUGACAUCUUAUAUUGUAAGAACAUGCGAGAUGGGAUACAUCUUGGUGCUAUAUAUUGGUGCCACCUGUGGAAGAUAUAAUCUGCCAGCAGGACCACAUAAUGACUUUCAUGAGACCUAGGGAUUUUUCCCUUGAUGGGCCCCUUUCUCCAUUAAAAAAAGGAAGAAAAAUUACAAUUGCACUUAUAAAAGAGGGUUUUCUAUUGCUCGGCCAAAACUCUUUCUCUAAAGAGCUAGACUUGACAAUAGGACCACCUGGAUACGGCCAAGGAGAAGUUUCACUAUGACAUGCCAUGGUGAAGAUCUAUUCUUUUUGAAUCUGAAGGGAGUUCACUAUGCCUCCUGGAUUUGGAUGUCUGCUUCCUUCCCCAGAUUAAGGAAGUUCUCAGCUAUAAUUUGUUCAGGUAAACCUUCUGCCUCUUUCUCCAUUUCUUCUUCUUCUGGAACUCCUAUGAUAUGGAUGUUAUUAGAUUUCAUUGAAUCACUUAGUUCUCAAAUUCUCCCCUUGUGGUCUAGUAUUUUCUUAUCUCUUUCUUGGCUUCAUCAUUUUCCAUAAUUUUAUCUUCUAUUUUACUUAUUCUCCUCUCUGCUUCCUCCAUCCUUGCUGUCAUUGCAGCUAGUUUAUUUUGCAUCUCAUUUACAACAUUUCUUUUUCAAAAAUUUUUAAUGUUUAUUAUUUAUUUUUGAGAGAAAGAAAGAG